UACGUAGGGUGCGAGCGUUGUCCGGAAUUAUUGGGCGUAAAGGGCUCGUAGGCGGUCUGUUGCGUCAGGAGUGAAAACUCGGGGCUUAACCCCGAGCCUGCUUCUGAUACGGGCAGACUAGAGGUAUGCAGGGGAGAACGGAAUUCCUGGUGUAGCGGUGAAAUGCGCAGAUAUCAGGAGGAACACCGGUGGCGAAGGCGACUACCUGGCCUGUUUCUUGACGCUGAGGCGCGAAAGCUAGGGGAGCAAACGGG
rnacentral:rRNA from 1 species